AAGGAACGGUCUUUUCCUUUCUGGCGGGCAGCGCGGCGGUGGUAUUAGGGGCUGUGAUGGGAGCCACGUGCCUUCCGUUCUCAUUAUCAGAGGCCUACUUCAAAGGCCGGAGUUGGGAAGAUCGAGGGAAACGGCCAGGAAUGGAGUUCGGAUGAGAGGUAUAGGCAAGUCCACCCACAGGUUUGGAUGAGAGAGAUUUCUACUCCAAAAUCUAUAUAGGAAUUCCAUUUUAAAGCAAAGCAAUGGCACAGUAUCUGUAACAAGACAAUUCUUGGGCUUGUGCCUCUUGGAAUGAUGGGAGAUUAAUGCUCAGCGCUCACUGAGAGACCCACAGAGAUACUCGUAGGAACAUGUCAGCAAGCAAGAGCCCAAAAGUGGCAGGUUAAAACCUGGAACCUCACUCCAUGGCUGAUACCGGAUGAGAAACUGCCUCCUGGGCACACAGAAGACUGGGCAACUUGAAAGGUACUAAACAGACUACGCUCUGGCACCACAAGAUGCAGAGCUAAUCUUAAAAAAUGGGGCUACAUAGUGGAGUCCACGAUAUGCAAGUGUGGAGAACAGCAAAACACACACCACUUACUACAACGUGAUCUGAGCCCUGACACAUGCACAAUGGAGGGCCUUCUCACAGCAACACCAGAGGCACUUGAAGCGGCCAGCUUCUAGUCAAAGGAAAUUUAACAUAAUGUCAACUUUUUAACUUUGUAUUUUUUAAAAUACAUCAUAAUUGUACCCCCAAUUUGCUUGUGAUAUGAUAAAUAAAAUAAAUGUUUGAUUUGUA